rnacentral:pre_miRNA from 1 species
AGGUCCAUUGCAGGGCAACCCUCCGUUGGCAGGUGCGACCUACACCCUACCCUGCCAAAGGGGAUUUGCCCGGCGAUGCGCCU